AAGCCAGCCAAUUAAUCUGUUUAUCUCAAUGUUUCUGCAGAAAUUUAGAAAAGGCUGGCAAUAAUGAUGCCAUGUUACCAGCCUUAAGCACAGAUGAAGUCUUUAAGGUCCCUGAAAAUGGCUACAGUG